UACGGGGGGGGCAAGCGUUGUUCGGAAUUACUGGGCGUAAAGGGCUCGUAGGUGGCCAAUUAAGUCAGACGUGAAACCCCCAAGCUUAACUUGGGAACUGCGUCUGAUACUGAGUGGCUUGAAUUCGGGAGAGGGAUGCAGAAUUCCAGGUGUAGCGGUGAAAUGCGUAGAUAUCUGGAGGAAUACCGGUGGCGAAGGCGGCAUCCUGGACCGAGAUUGACACUGAGGAGCGAAAGCCAGGGGAGCAAACGGG
rnacentral:rRNA from 1 species